AGAGUUUGAUCCUGGCUCAGAUUGAACGCUGGCGGUAUGCCUAACACAUGCAAGUCGAACGAGGUAGCAAUACCUAGUGGCGGACGGGUGAGGAAUACGUAGGGAUCUGCCCUUAAGUGGGGGAUAACCCGGGGAAACCCGGAUUAAUACCGCAUGAUCUCGCAAGAGCAAAGAGGGGGACCGCAAGGCCUCUCGCUUUUGGAGGAACCUACGUCGGAUUAGCUAGUUGGUGAGGUAAUGGCUCACCAAGGCGACGAUCCGUAACUGGUCUGAGAGGAUGAUCAGUCACGCCGGAACUGAGACACGGUCCGGACUCCUACGGGAGGCAGCAGUGGGGAAUAUUGGACAAUGGGUGAAAGCCUGAUCCAGCAAUACCGCGUGUGUGAAGAAGGCCUUCGGGUUGUAAAGCACUUUAAGUUGGGAAGAAAAAGCUUCACCUAAUACGUGAAGCCUUGACGGUACCGACAGAAUAAGCACCGGCUAACUCCGUGCCAGCAGCCGCGGUAAUACAGAGGGUGCUAGCGUUAAUCGGAUUUACUGGGCGUAAAGCGUGCGUAGGUGGUUUGAUAAGUCGAUUGUGAAAGCCCCGGGCUUAACCUGGGAAUUGCGGUCGAUACUGUCAGACUCGAAAACGGUAGAGGGAGGUGGAACUCCAGGUGUAGCGGGAAAUGCGUAGAUAUCUGGAAGAACACCGAUGGCGAAGGCAGCUUCCUGGGCCUGUUUUGACACUGAGGCACGAAAGCGUGGGUAGCAAACAGGAUUAGAUACCCCGGUAGUCC
rnacentral:rRNA from 1 species